rnacentral:lncRNA from 1 species
GGAAAGCUGUGAAGACCCCUUGGCAACAUAGUCACAGGCUCUCCAAAGACCUGGGAAAAAAUUACUUCAUGUCCUUGUAAAAACGUUUUCACAAAUUUAAGUGCACCAGCUUUGAAGCAAGACAGAAUUGGGAUCAAGUCCCUGUUCCACCCUUACCAGUUCCCAUAUGGCCACGAGGGGAGAUGCCAGAAAAACCAGGGAAAACCAA